UACGAAGGGGGCUAGCGUUGUUCGGAAUUACUGGGCGUAAAGCGUGCGCAGGCGGUUUGUUAAGUCCGUUGUGAAAGCCCCGAGCUCAACUUGGGAAUUGCAGUGGAUACUGGCAGGCUGGAGUACGGUAGAGGAAGGUGGAAUUCCCGGUGUAGCAGUGAAAUGCGUAGAUAUCGGGAGGAACACCAGUGGCGAAGGCGGCCUUCUGGACCAGUACUGACGCUCAUGCACGAAAGCGUGGGGAGCAAACAGG
rnacentral:rRNA from 1 species